UCGAGAGUGCUAGCUGGUUCC
rnacentral:siRNA from 1 species